AUUGAACGCUGGCGGCAUGCCUUACACAUGCAAGUCGAACGGUAACAGGUCUUCGGAUGCUGACGAGUGGCGAACGGGUGAGUAAUACAUCGGAACGUGCCUAGUAGUGGGGGAUAACUACUCGAAAGAGUGGCUAAUACCGCAUGAGAUCUACGGAUGAAAGCAGGGGAUCGCAAGACCUUGUGCUACUAGAGCGGACGAUGGCCGAUUAGGGAGUUGGUGGGAUAAAAGCUUACCAAGCCGACGAUCUGUAGCUGGUCUGAGAGGACGAUCAGCCACACUGGGACUGAGACACGGCCCAGACUCCUACGGGAGGCAGCAGUGGGGAAUUUUGGACAAUGGGCGAAAGCCUGAUCCAGCAAUGCCGCGUGCAGGAUGAAGGCCUUCGGGUUGUAAACUGCUUUUGUACGGAACGAAAAGCCCCGGGUUAAUACCCUGGGGUCAUGACGGUACCGUAAGAAUAAGCACCGGCUAACUACGUGCCAGCCGCCGCCGUAA
rnacentral:rRNA from 1 species